CAGCCAUGUCAUUAAAACACCAGUUCUUGUCCAUUCACCAAAGUUAAGCAAUGUCAAGCUUGGUCAGUACCUAGAUGAGUGACCACUUGGGAAUACUAGGUGCUGUAAG